rnacentral:rRNA from 1 species
GAUGAACGCUGGCGGUGUGCCUUAAGCAUGCAAGUCGAACGGGGCUAGUAGCAAUAUUAGCCCAGUGGCAGACGGGUGAGUAAUACGUGGGAAUCUACCUCUUUGUGGGGAAUAGCCCGGCGAAAGUCGGGGUAAUACCGCAUGAUAUCGUAAGAUCAAAGGUCUUAACCGGCCGCGAAGAGAGGAGCCUGCGUCCUAUCAGCUAGUUGGUGAGGUAAUGGCUCACCAAGGCGAUGACGGGUAGGGGAUGUGAGAGCAUGAUCCCCCACAAAGUCACUGAGACACGGGACUUACACCUACGGGUGGCUG